rnacentral:rRNA from 1 species
ACUCACGUCUUUACGGGAUUGCAAUGAGAACAAUUUAAAUCACUUAGCGGGGAUCAAUUGGAGGGCAAGUCUGGUGCCAGCAGCCGCGGUAAUUCCAGCUCCAAUAGUGUAUAUUAAAGUUGUUGCAGUUAAAAAGCUCGUAGUUGAACUUCUGGCAGUGUGCAGAUAUGGCUACGGUCAGUCUGUUCACUGUCAUCCGUCUGCAAACCUCGUACGUCCUUCAGUGGUUCGGCGAGGGGAGUAGACAUUUUACUUUGAAAAAAUUAGAGUGUUUCAAGCAGGCUUUUGCCAGAAUACUUUAGCAUGGAAUAAUGGAAUAGGACUUCUGUCCAUUUGGUUGGUUAUUGGCCAGGAGUAAUGAUUAAUAGGGACAGUUGGGGGCAUUAGUAUUUAAUUGUCAGAGGUGAAAUUCAUGGAUUUAUUAAAGACUAACUUAUGCGAAAGCAUUUGCCAAGGAUGUUUUCAUUAAUCAAGAACGAAAGUUAGGGGAUCAAAGACGAUCAGAUACCGUCCUAGUCUUAACUAUAAACGAUGUCGACUCGGGAUUGGAAGGGUUCCUUUUAUCCCUUCCAGCACCGUAUGAGAAAUCAUUAAGUCUUUGGAUUCUGGGGGGAGUAUGGUCGCAAGGCUGAAACUUAAAGGAAUUGACGGAAGAGCACCACCAGGCGUGGGACCUGCGGCUUAAUUUGACCCAACACGGGAAAACUUAUUUCAGCAAAACAUGAGUGGGAUUGACAGAUUGAGAGCUCUUUCUUGAUUUUAUGGGGUGUGGUGCAUGGCCGUUCUUAGUUGGUGGAGUGAUUUGUCUGGUUAAUUCCGUUAACGAACGAGACCUUAACCUGCUAACUAGUCAGCCUGUGAUCAACAGGUGGCACUUCUUAGAGGGACUAUGGGUUAUAAGCCCAUGGAAGUUUGAGGCAAUAACAGGUCUGUGAUGCCCAUAGAUGUUGAAAGCGGCACGCGCGUCAUACUGUCCAGUAACAGCAAGUUUCAUCCUCUCCCGGAAGGGUAGGGGUAAUCUAUAAAACUGGACGUGGUAGGGAUAGAUCUUUGGAAUUAUAGAUCUUGAACGAAGAAUGCCUAGUAAGUGCAAGUCAUCAACUUGUGCUGAUUACGUCCCUGUCCUUUGUACACACCGCCCGUCGCUCCUACCGAUUUCGAGCGAUAUGGUGAACCUCCUGGACCGUGGGGCUCCUCGUGGGCUUCGUGGAAAGUUUAGUAAACCUUAUCGCUUAGAGGAAGGAGAAGUCGUAACAAGGUA